rnacentral:lncRNA from 1 species
GUUUGCCAGUUGUCCUCUAAAGUUGUUGAAGAACUUUGAGUCAGUCCGAGGCAAGAAAUGCUGUUGAUAGGUUGGCACAGAGUUCAUGUGGAGAGCUUGCUGGAGUCAUGUAUAUUGUGAGCACCAAGAGCUGUGAUUCAGUAUUUGCAGAAAGACAUCUCUUCAAACAAGCAGAGCCAUCCUCCAUCCUAAAGGUUUGCACUACGCCUUGUCUGUGACAGCAACUGCCUCUGAGCCUCCAUGAGCAAAGUGUAUUUGGCUGAGCCCACUCCUCACACACUUCCUUCUGCUGCAGUCAGACUUCUGAACAUGAGCAGGCAGAUGAAAAGGGAAAUGGCAGGCAAGGUCCCAGACAACUCCUCCAGACAAUGCCUGCAUAACUGGAGGAAGCCACAGACCUCUCUCUGAUAAGGUGAUUGUGAUUAUUUUGCUUUUUGGAUUUAGUACAGCCAACUCAUUCCCU